rnacentral:rRNA from 1 species
CUACGGGAUGCAGCAGUCGAGAAUCUUCUGCAAUGCACGUAAGUGUGACAGAGCGAGCCAGAGUGCUUUUCUUUUUGAAAAGCUUUUGUGAAAUGUAAAAAGUUUCACGAAUAAGGACUGGGUAAGACGAGUGCCAGCCGCCGCGGUAAUACUCGCGGUCCAAGUCGCAGCCAUUUUUAUUGGGUCUAAAACAUCCGUAGCUUGUUUAAAAAGUCCCUUGUGAAAUCUUAUAUCUUAAGUAUGAGGAUUGCAAGAGAUACUAUUAAGCUAGAGACUGGAAGACGUAAGAAGUACGUUCAAAGUAACGGUAACAUGUGUUAAUCUUGAACGGACUAACAACAGCGAAGGCAUCUUACGAGUACAGUUCUGACAGUGAGGGAUGAAGGCUAGGGGCGCAAAACGGAUUAGAUACCCCCGUAGUC